rnacentral:rRNA from 1 species
GACUCGAACCUCUCUGAGCUGUCCCUCCACCCCGCCUCGCCUCCUCUCGGCCCUCCUCGCCGCGCCGCGCCGCGGAUCUCCUCAUGGCGUCCUCCUCCUCCGCCGCGGCGUCCGCGGCCGCGCUCGAGGCCGUGCAGGUCCUCGUCGCCUCCCUCGCCGACGACUCCCCGCGCGCCCGCGACUCCGCCCUCGCCGCGCUCCGCGAGAUCGCGCCGCUGAACCCGCUGCUCGUCCUCGACUGCUGCGCCACCGUCUCCCGGGGCGGCCACCGGCGCUUUGGCAACAUGGCCGGGGUUUUCCUCGUCAUGGCCUCCGCCGUCAGGGCUCUCGAUCGCUUGGAUGCUGAGCGCGAGUUCCUCCGGAAAAUCGCCAAGAUUGCCACCGCAGAGAUUGUUAGCUCAAAGGAUUUCAAUGUUGAUUGGCAAAGAGCGGCAGCUACUCUUCUUGUUGCCAUUGGGUCACAUGACCCAGAUUUGAUGAUGGAGGAGAUAUUUCUUUACUUCUCUGGACCAACUUCUGCUUUGCCAGCCAUGUUACAGAUACUUGCAGACUUUGCAUCUGCUGAAGCCCUGCAGUUCACUCCACGAUUGAAGGAUGUACUUUUGCGUGUUUUACCUAUCCUAGGAAGUGUACGAGAUGGCCAACGACCUGUUUUUGCAAAUGCAUUAAAGUGUUGGUGCCAGGCUGCAUGGGUGUAUAUAGGAGACGCCUCUUCAGGGCUUCCUUUUGAUGACGAUGUUAUGUCCUUCAUGAAUUCAGUAUUUGAAUUACUUCUAAAAGUGUGGACGGGCUCCCGUGAUCUGAAGGUCCGUUUGUCUUCUGUGGAGGCUUUGGGAGAAAUGGUUGGCCUGGUCACUAGGUCACAGUUAAAAUCAGCUCUGCCAAGGAUUAUACCAACAAUGUUGGACCUAUGUAAGAAAGAUCAAGAAGUGGCUUUUACCGCGGCUCACAGUCUUCAUAACCUUCUUAAUGCAUCAUUACUGUCAGAAAGUGGCCCCCCUUUACUUGAGUUUGAGGAGCUAGCUGUUGUCUUAAUUACUCUUCUUCCUUUAGUAUCUGUCAACAUCAGCAAAGAUGAACGCUCAUAUAUUUCAAAGGGAUUGAAGACAUACAAUGAACUCCAGCACUGUUUCUUGGUAACUGGAUUAGCAUAUCCUGAGGAUCUGUGCAUGUUCCUCCUGAGUAAAUGUAGGUCAAAAGAUGAAGCAUCAAUUGUUGGGGCACUUGGAACAAUAAAACAUCUAUUGCCCAGGUUGUUGGAAUCAUGGCAUACUAAGCAAACAUUGUUGGUUGAAAUAGUCAAAUCACUUCUAGAGGAGCAGAGCUUGGGUAUUCGAAUGGCACUAGCUGAGCUAAUUGUCGUUAUGGCUUCACAUUGCUACUUGAGUGGGCAUUCUGCUGAGCUCGCGGUUGAGUUUUUGGUGGGGCAUAGUGCUAUAACCGACGAUGAUCUAAAUGAUAUCAACACUCUGAAAAAUGAGUACUUCCAGGACAAAAGAUUUGAGAUGAAAAUAAGUCUUGCUGGUCUAUCUGAACUAAGAGCUGUAUGUGAAAAGGGUCUACUUUUACUAGCAAUUACCAUUCCUGAAAUGGAGCUUGUUCUAUGGCCAUUUCUCUUGCAGCUGAUUAUCCCAAAGAAGUAUACAGGUGCAGUAGCUACGGUCUGCAAAUGCAUAACUGAAUUGUGUAGGCAUAAAUUGUCGCAGACAAAUCCACUAUAUACUGAGUUUAAUGCCUCAAACGAAAUGCCCAGUCCUGAGGAUCUGUUUGCUCGUUUGCUGGUGCUUCUGCAUAAUCCACUUGCUAGGGGGCAACUCGCUACCCAGAUCCUGACGGUGCUGUGCUACUUGGGUCAACUUUUCCCAAGAAACCUUUCUUUAUUUUGGGAAGAUGAGGUCCCUAAGAUGAAAGCUUACAUCAGUGAUCCUGAAGAUCUUAAGCAAGAUAGCACCUACCAGGAAAUAUGGGAUAACAUGAUAAUCAAUUUUUUAGCUGAAUCCUUGGAUGUUGUGAAUGAUAAUGUGUGGGUCAUAUCCUUGGGCGAUGCAUUUGCUAGACAAUAUGAUCUCUAUGCUACAUCUGAUGGGCAUUCAGCUUUGUUGCACAGAUGUUUAGGAAUGCUUCUUCAGAAGGUUGAUGAUAGGAUUUAUGUCCGUGAAAAGAUUGAUUUGAUGUGUAGACAUUCAAGUAUGUCUAUUCCUGUUAAUCGCCUUGGACUUGCCCAAGGCAUUGGUUUGGUUGCAGCUUCUCAUUUGGACACAGUUUUGGAGAAGCUGAAGAACAUACUAGAAAAUGCAGGGCAAAGUGCUCUCCAGAGGUUCCUCUCAUUUUUCUCGUUUAGAGAAAAAGUGGAGGAUGUUGAUGAUACAUACGCAGCUCUGGCUUUGAUGUAUGGUUAUGCUGCAAGAUAUGCCCCAUCAACAGUAAUUGAAGCCAGAAUCAACGCACUUGUGGGGACUGAUAUGCUUGGAAGAUUCCUUCAUGUUCAACAUCCUACUGCAAAGCAAGCUGUCAUUACUGCAAUUGACCUUUUAGGCCGGGCUGUUAUUAGUGCUGCUGAAAUAGGAAUUUCGUUCCCACUGCAACGAAGAGAUCAAUUGCUGGAGUAUGUGCUAACUCUAAUGGGAAGGGAUCAAAGUGAUGAUCUCGUUGAUUUCAGCAUUGAGCUUCUGCAAACACAAACUGUUGCUUUGAGUGCUUGUACUACUCUGGUUUCAAUAGAGCCAAGGUUACCUAUGGAAACAAGAAAUCGUGUCAUGAAGGCAACCUUAGGUUUUUUUGCUUUGCCAACUGAGCCCUCAAACAUUGUUGAGAGCCUGAUAACAAACCUCAUUAUUCUGUUAGGUGCCAUUCUGCUAACUAGCGGUGAAGAUGGCCGAAGCAGAGCAGAGCAGCUGUUGCAUAUUCUUAGACAACUCGAUCCAUAUGUUUCAGCAUCUGCAGAACACCAGAGAAGAAGGGGAUGUGUUGCUGUACAUGAGGUGUUAGUAAAGUUUCGCAAUCUUUGUUCUGGUGGAUUUGGUGCAUCGGGCUCCUAUCCAACUUUGAGCCUAAAGCACAUUGAUCAGGGAGGGCCUAGGGGCUCGUCAAGUUUGCCAUCUGCAUUUGUGUUGCCGAAUCGAGAUUCAUUAAGCUUGGGCGAGAGAAUAAUGGCAUAUCUACCUCGCUGUGCUGAUACAGAUGAUGAAGUUAGGAAAGUUGCGAUUCAGAUCAUUGCACUUUUCUUCAAUAUAUCACUGUCACUUCCAAAACAGAAGACAUCUGCUAAUGACAUCGAUCUAGAAUCUUCAUACGGUGCUUUGUCCUCCCUAGAGGACAUAGUCUCCAUCAUCAGAAGGGCAUCUGUUGAUCAGAUCGAAGUAUUUCAUAGAGUUGUCUCCUCUGUGUGUAUUCUACUAUCUAAGGACGAGCUGGUUGUCUUGCUACACUCUUGCACGUUAGCGGCAUGUGAUAAAGUGAAGCAAUCAGCAGAUGGUUCCAUUCAAGCUAUUAUAGUAUUUAUUAUCAGAAGAGGCAAGGAUCUACGUGAAGCUGAUGUACUGAGGACAACACAAUCUCUGCUCUCAUCAGCUAUUGCUCUUACCGACAAGCAUUCACGCCAAGAAGUUCUCAAUGCAAUAUCAUGCUUAGCAGAAAAUACCAACCACAUUGUGGUCUUUGAUGAAGUUCUAUUUGUGGCUGGGCGAGAUAUUUGUACGAAGGACAUAACAAGAAUUCGUGGCGGUUGGGCUAUACAAGAUGUUUUUUAUGUUUUCUCCCAGCAUAAGGUGCUGGCUACUCUUUUUUUGGAGUACAUUUUAUCUAUACUUCACAAAGAACCUGUUGCAACAAAUGAUUCAGAAAAAGGGGAAAUUAACUCAGAGUCAUCAGCUGAUGACUGUAUUCUACAAGCAACUAUGUUCGCUCUCAAUGCGUUCCUGAGAGGUGGUGGGAAGGUCGGGAAACAAGCAGUUGAGCAAAGCUACCCUUCUGUCCUUUCUGCACUUAUACUGAAGCUGGGAGGUCUUCACGGUCUUGCUGAAUUAGGCCGCAAUGAGCUUCUACGAUCGUUGUUAAUUGCAUUCCAGUCAUUCUGUGAUUGUGUUGGCGAUGUCGAGAUGGGAAAGAUAUUAGCUCGAGAUGGCGAACGAACUGAGAAGGAGAAGUGGAUUGAUCUUGUGCAAGAGGUUGCAUGCAGUUCCUCAGUAAAGAGGCCCAAUGAGAGGGCUGAAAGGGAGGCUGCUGCUGCUGCACUAUCAGAAUUUAUUCGCCACAGUGAAAAAGAACCUGCAUUGCUUGAACAAAUGGUUGAGGAAUUGUGUCAACAUGUAACCGACGACUCACCGACUGUCAGGAGUCUCUGCUUGCGAGGACUUGUACAGAUACCCGAGAGCCACAUACUUAAUUACAUCCAGCAAGUCCUAGGAGUAAUAUUAGCAUUACUUGAAGAUGCCACCGAAUCUGUUCAACUCACUGCUGUCCAGUGCCUGUUAACCGUUCUUAAUGUGUCAGAACAAGAUGCAGUGGAUCCCAUUUUAAUAAGUCUCUUAGUAAGGCUAAGGAAUCUCCAGAUCUCCAUGAAUACAAAAAUGAGGUCCAAUGCCUUUGCAGCUUAUGGUGCUCUAAGUGCCUAUGGUGCUGGUUCACAGCAUCAUGCUUUUCUUGAGCAGAUACAUGCCACUCUUCCGCGUUUGAUCCUCCAUCUUCAUGAUAAUGACCUUAGCGUUCGCCUUGCCUGUCGGAACACAUUCCAGCUCCUAGCGCCUUUGAUGGAAGUAGAUGGCUUGUCUUCACUCCUCAACAAGCAAUAUUUCACAUCUGAUCGGCGAUCUGAUUACGAGGACUUCAUUAGGGACUUAACAAGACAACUUUGUCGACUAUCUCCCGUCAGAGUUGACAGCUACCUAGAAUCUGCUAUCCAGGCAUUUGAUGCACCUUGGCCGGUCAUUCAAGCAAAUGCAGUUUGCUUGGUUAGUUGCAUGCUAUCCUUUUUGGAUGAUCAACGCUUCCUUGCUCCUUACUUCUCACAGGUGUUCGCUAUGUUGGUUGGCAGAAUGAGCCAAUCACCAGAGGCCGUUGUUCGAGCAGCAGCAUCUUCUGCAUUGGGCCUCCUGAUAAAGAGGUCUAACAUGCUCAAGUCAUUGAGUUCACGGUUUGAUCGAACAGAUCCAUCACAGAGUUCUCAACAUGGAGAGCCUCAUGCUAAAACAUCGUCUGAGCUUCAAGAAGAGGCUGCAGCAAAGCCAAAUGGCGCGCAAGGAGAGCAAUAGAAGCAAUUGAAGCCGAUCUCUCUCGGAAGUAAAUCUGUUGUACAUGUACAGAGUUCAAUGUUCAUGCUGCCUGCCUGUACAUUUUGUGCCUCCUUCAACAAUAGAGCAUAGAGAGAUAAUUCUGUAGCCAUGUCCAUAGGUUUUUAGUGCGACUGUACAGCAUACUGCCGUGGCAGAAUUCGCUGUGUUCUGUAAGCAUGUAUUAUAACGAAGAUACGCCAUUGCUAAGAAGGAACCGUCUAAUUCCUGGAGUGUGUAUAUAGGUUUUUAGUGUAAGCAUGUAAGAAUUCCUUAUCUGAAUGAAUUCCCUGGGGAAAUGUGGGAGCUAGUUUUUUUUCCCCAGAAUUCUUCAGUGCUGCAAGUUCACUUUAUUCCUCAAAAAAAAAAGUUCACUGUUAAGCUUGAUGCAUUUUUAAGCUUUAUCAGUCGGUAGGUAGCUCGGAUCUUCUACUCCAUUCGUAGCUAGCUAAACUGUUACUAUUUCCG